CACCUGGACAGAAGACCCUAUGAAGCUUUACUGUAACUUGAAAUUGAAAUUGGACUUUAUUUGCGCAGCAUAGGUGGGAGGCGUUGAAGAUCUUCUUGCGGGAAAAUCAGAGCCAUCAGUGAGAUACCACUCUUGUAAUGUUAGAUUUCUAACUUUGGAUCAUUAUCUGGUCAAAGAACAGUUUCAGGCGGGCAGUUUGACUGGGGCGGUCGCCUCCCAAAUGGUAACGGAGGCGUACAAAGGUUUCCUCUGAACGGAUAGAAAUCGUAUCUAGAGUAUAAAGGCAUAAGGAAGCUUGACUGUGAGACCUACAAGUCGAGCAGGGACGAAAGUCGGUCUUAGUGAUCUGACGGUACUGAGUGGAAAGGCCGUCACUCAACGGAUAAAAGUUACUCUAGGG
rnacentral:rRNA from 1 species